rnacentral:tRNA from 1 species
AUUUUAUGCAAAUAAGAUUUUUGAACUAUCAAAAUUCGCAAGCCUCAGAGCUUAGAAAUAAAUUU